AUUAAUCAGAAGCAUCUUCUAGUUGUAUAACGUGUUUUCUUGUUUCCCGAUAAAAUACUUUCUAAGAUCGGAAAAUAUGGAAUUAUAUUUGUUCCUGAAAUUGUCUAUUUUUGUUUGUGGCCAUCAAGGAAUGUGCAAUUCUCUUAUUAAUUGAUUCACCGGAUUGUUAUGUGUAGACUCUAUACAUUAAGUUGGAUUUCUUGACAAAAUUACUCUAUUGAAAACGUGAAUCAUGAGCUACAAAUAUACUCUAUAUCUGGAUUAUAUGUUUGGAUUUCCUCCAUCUGAAAUCCAAUCUGUAGGAUAAGCUAAUAGAUUUUGGGGUUAUGUACUGAUAAUUGUAUGAUACAAUCAACACAAGGUGUUACAGUAAGAAUAUAUGCAGGUGAAGUUGCAAAAACAUUCUCUAGGCUGUGUUUUCCAUCUCAUUUGGGUAUUGCUUCGAGAUGUAUUGCCUUUUGGUUGAAUUCAUUGUUUUAACUUGAUACUUUCUACGAAGUUUUGCUUCAGUUUGGAUCUCUCAUGUAUAGUUGAACAAGAGAGUUUCAGACUAAGCUUUUUGGCUUAGCAUUGGGAUCACGAUAUCUCUACCAACACUUGAAAAAUUCUCAUCUAAUAUCCUGUUCAAGAACAAAAUAAAGUUUCUGAGUAAGAGGACUAGUGAUUGAUUCCCCACCUUCAUGUGGGUGGUUUGUUUGCUAUUUUCUUCCAGUUUGACACGAGCAAUAAUCUGCUGCUCUUAUAUAUUGAAGUUAAUUUCCUUUUGCAGUGUUGCUAGAAUAGAUGUUUACUUUUGAAUGGAAAAGUAAAGUAAAUUGGACUUGUCUUUUACAUCACCGAAACUACUACCGCUUCGAUUUGAUCUCUACAGGACUACAACCCAUAUAAAGGUAUCUCCAAGGUGGUUAUAUUUGACAAAUUUCAGAAGAAAACCAACAAUGAGGCUUUUAACCCACAAUAUGUUAUCAUCAAACAUCAAAGGUGUGACAAAUGGCUUCCCUCUGCUGAUUGAGGUUGAGAAAGUAGUGGAGAAGCAGGUAGAUUUCAAUGAAGACUUCCUCAGGAACAUGUUUCCUAAGAUUGAAUGGAAGGCCUUGGUUGAGGCAUCCAGAACAAUGGGCUACACUGAGCUACCCGAGAAUGCUGAAUCCUCCAUGCUCGACUCCGAUGAGUUCCUGGGCAAGUUCCAUCACGCCCUCGUUGAGCUUCAUCUUGAGGAGGGCGCGUUAGUUUGUCCUGAGACUGGUCGUAAAUUUCCUGUUAACAAGGGGAUUCCAAAUAUGUUGCUUCAUGAAGAUGAGGUUUGAAUUUCUCUUCUUCGUGGAAGCUAUGUCUUAGAGUUGAUGUUUAGGGGUCUGCCCCACCAGGGGACGAGUGAAGGAAUUUGGUUCUAUUGAGAAAAGACUAUUGCAUUUUAUUGUACUGUUUUUUUACCCUAAAUCAAACCAUGAGUAUUUACUCCGAAAGUAAAGAGAGAACACACAAUUUAAGAUAGAAUAAUGCUAUUUGUAGUCGAUAAUUAUAGUAAUCGCCCUACAUGGUGACAUUUUAUGUGGCAACUUGUUAUUUGAUACAUUAAUUUUCUAUAAUUUUUGUUGUCUCAAAUAAUAAACUAAUGCCUCAAUAACAUGUAGAUAAUUACUACAAUUGUUGACUAUAAAUAGUAUUACUGUUCAAGAUAAAUAAAAUUUAAAGAGCAAGAGAAACACCUGAUCUUGUCAUAUUCUUCACAAUGAUGCUAUGUGUGUAAUAGUUAGUUGGCUCAUGAUCUCUCUCUUAUUUACUCUCGUUGGAGUUCAUGAAUGUUCGGCCAUAAACCAUGUGACAAAUCUAAAUUUACCCUUGCAAUAUUGUUUGUAUAAAACAUUGAAGAAUCCAAUGUCAUCAAAUGUUCAUCUGUGUUCUGUAGAACUCGUGAGUUAAACAUCUGUAAUGAUUUUCCCAAAAUUAUAGCAAUACAAAGUAUGAAUGAGCUAUUGUCAUUUGGCCACCACUUAAAAAGCAAAUAAAAAAUCACGGUUUUAUGUGUCUAUAAUAAAAAAAUAAAUUAAAAAGAAAAAAAAUCUGUUUGCUAUCUUCUCAAAAUCAACCUCCCACAAGAGAGAAUUAGGUAUAUGCCCCUACUCUUUUCUUUUGCUCUAUGUAAAGCUUGUCCAAGUAUGUGGGAACAAAAUGGUGAAGCAUUUCUACCAUAGCCAAAUGCACAAGUUCUUCGGCUUCUUGCAAUAUCGACUUGGAGAUUAUUCCACCUCAUUACUUGGGGGAAAUUAACGACUAAAUUCCUGGGUCCCCUUCGAACCUCAAAACAAUGCAAUAGUAUUAUGUCUUCUUACGUGGGGUCGUUUCAUAUGGGGGAAGAGGCACGCCGAAAACCCAAUCAAGAACAUUCAAGUAUUUUGAUCGAAAGACAUCCCUCUCUAUAGCAUAACAGUGCAUAAUAAUUGCAGUUGAAAUGCUAAAGACGACAACAUCAGCUCUCUUCAAGUUUUUCGACUGAGGUAAGUAUCCUACAUCAGCCAUGCAUGUGAAGAAGCUUUCAAUAGCUCGAGCAAGGCAGUAUAAUGAUAUCUCUAUCCUUCUACUCUUCUUCUCAAUGGCCAGGGCUAGGCCAGUUGGAAACUGUUCAAGAGCACAGUUGCACGUGUAAAAAAAAAAACGUGUGUGUGCAUGCAAAAACUCACAGAGACGUGUUUGUGCAGAAUCUAUUUGAUAGUUAUUAAUGAAAAAUAAAAAGAGCUACUCCUUUUACCGUUCCCAUUGCCACCAUAGGAAUGUUGCAUUUCUUGAAAAUCCUAAACAGGAAGCAUGUCCAUAUCCUAAGGAAAAAUAAAUAAAAAUAAAUCAACAAUCUCGUGCAAAAACAGUAAUAGUAAUCACAAGUACAAUGGUAGUAAUGUGGUUCCUAUAGCCUAAUUUCCCAAAUGAAAAUAAAAAGAUUUUUUGUUUUAUUACUAUUAGAUAUUAGUUUUACCAAUAACCACUCUCUCUCUUCUUUUGAAUCAUAAAAUCUAUUUUUAUGUGUUCUUUUACAUGGGAAUCAUGAUGACAUACCAUGAGAUGUAUGGAAGCCAAUUUAACAUUCAUUCAUAUGUAUGUACAUAGGAAUACCCAGGUGAAAGUGCAAGUAACCUUUAAAAAUAGUUCCAAACUAGCAUAGGUUUUUCGAGUUCCCAAGCUUGGAUUUAGCUUAAGAGUAUGGGCUAAUACGCUCCAUGGUAGAAGAGAAAUAAUGAUCAGAACAUUCUCCAAUCUUAGUCCAAUGGUACAUGUUGCACAAUCUGUAUAAUCAGUUGCUUACCAUGCAGAUGAACAAUACAUCGAGAGAAACAAGCUCGAUCUUGCAGUACCAAAAAGACCUUUCCAUAAGAUUGUGUGAGGCCUGAAUAGGGUUGAAAAGAGAUAUAAAAGACAGUAUUGCAGAAACAACAGUAUCAAGAACAGUUAGAUGAGUGCCUAUGCAAUUAAAAAUGGUUUUAUAAGAUUGCGAGGGUAUAAAUUUAAGAAGUGACUUGUAACAAGACAUGAAACUGUGUUAACAAUUUCCAAGUCAAUAUACUAACAAACCAAGAACAUGUGUUAACAAUUACCAAGUCAAUUUACGAAGUAGAUUAGCGUGCAUCAGCAAAAUAAUCCACUUACCCCAGAAAAGGAAACUUCAGAAUAAAUGAAGCAGAAAUAGAUUAUAGUGGGAUUAGAGAAAAAGGGUCAAUUGCUUUUGUAAACAACUAAAACUUGAAGUAAUCAACUGAAAGGGUAAGGUUUCAUUUAUAUAGAUCUGCAAUUGAUCAUAUCCUCACAUGACUAGGAAUUGCUUGGCAUUUGCACCAUACAUAUGAAUUUUAUAAGACAGUAAUUUAGUUUCACACAACAGGAUUUUAACAUAAUUCUAGUUAUCUGUUUGAGCAUAAUGGUAAUGGGCAAGACAAUGAAUUAGCACAUCAAUAUUCCAACUUUAUCCAUUGUUUGGGUCUUGUGUCAGAUUCAUUCAUCAUGAAAUUCUAUUUUAGCUAUCUUCAAGAAAUUAAAAGAACUUUAGCCAUGCACCGUUAACCCGAGGUUGAAGAUGUAAAAAUUUACACCAGUUAAUGUGUAUCUGAAAUUGUUGAAUCAAGGUCAAGUACAAUACACCACGAAGAAGAGUCGAAAGUAAAAUGAGUGAGGAACCAUAUUUACAAGGACAAUCAACUCAUCAUCAAAGAUACAAGAUAUAAGCAUCAUUUUCAUUUCCUCAUCUACACUCUUUAAGAAACCUAGAAGCUUAAAGUGUCUUUUUUUGGUGCGCCACUUCCUGCAAGAAUAUCCAUUUUCCUCUGCAAAUAACUAUUAUUUUAUUUUAACUUCUUGUUUCACACAAGGUACUUUUUAGAAGAGCAAUUGGGUUAUAUACAUGAUUGUCUAAAAGAUAUAUGUAAUAUUGAAAAGGCAAAGAAUUUUGAAACUAACAAGUCAAACCAUUACAUCCCUCGGCUCCUUUAUAACACUCAAUUUAUCAACUUCACUAAGUACACAAUCGGCUACAAAUGUUAUGGAUACUUUGAAGCUAGUGAGACUUGUAUAACAUUAAUGAUACCACCAGGACAAUCGUUUCUUUGGCAGUCUACAAUUUUAGUCAACAUUCUUAAUUUUGGAAAUUCUAGAAAGCUAAGGACAUUAAUGAAUUGGGAGGUGGUGCAACCUUAUAUGGACUCGUUCUAAGUAAUCAGAGUACCCACUAAAGCAUCAUAUUCUGAGAGUUAAGUAAAACCUGAGGAUUGUAAGUCACUACCAAAGAGCCUCUACAGUUUACCUAGUUGAUUAUAACUGGAAAAAUGAAAGAAUGUAGAAUUUCAUAUGCUUCAAACCUACAAUGAAUAGCCAUUCAGAAUAAACGUUUACCCCUUGUGGACUGUAUCUUCACAACUUAUUAGGUAUAAGUUACUACCACAUAUCCAGAAGUAACAGAAAAGAAGAAAACAUUCGAUGUAUCAGAAGAUGACAACAAUAUAAAUUACCUUUUCAGGAGACCUUGGCGAUGUACUAUCAGUGCAGGAAUUAGAUAGACAGGAAGAUAAACUGGUAACGCUCUUUUAUAUGCUUGAAGAAGAAACAAAAGAAAAUGUGUCCCACAUGAUUGAUUCCCAUGUAUAAUCUGCAAAAAUAUAGAAAGCACUAAAUAUGAUGCUUGACUAUCAGCAACCUUUGGAAGCUGCUAUUCAGCACGGAAACAUGCAAAAACGAAUCAAUCUCGAUUGGAUUACAAUCUCACAUGCAGAAACAAAAAGACAGGAUUAUGACUCAAUUUAUCCUAUGAUUAUACACUUUUUUUGGAAAUCCACAUUUUUAUAAAAAGAAAAACACGCUAUUCUUUUAUUCCUUUUCCUGAAUCUGCAUUUAAUUAUUUUCCAUUCUACCAUACAUUUCUAAUCACCAAGCUGCAAAUUCCUUUUCUCUCUCAAAUACCAUACAUAAUCUAAUCAAAUAUCGCCGGUAUUCAAAGCUAAAAUAUCUCCUCAGAAUAUGCAAGAUAUAAAGCAAAAUUCUUGAAACUUUAAUCCAAUUUAUAAUAAAUCCAAGCAAUCAGAUACCAAGCUCUCACAAUCAAUCACCGACUUUAAAUUUGAAUUUUGGUGUGUGGGACUUGUUCUGUAGGGCGCAACUAAAAAUCUUUAAUAAGAGGGAUUAGGAUGGUGAUAUGAGGGACAUGGAAACUGGACCCUCGACAUUGUGUCACUUCUAGUAAUUGAUACAAGUAUAAUGCAUACAUUGCAAAAGCAAUGCCUUUUAACUUUUUGGAGCAAGGCUUGUGUUUUGGAACAUCCAAAAGGAAGUAUCAUUGGGAUGGAGGGAGCAAUAUUGAGAAAUUUGCAGACAAUGUGCAUAGUCAUCAUAAAGAACCAACUUUCAAGUGUCAAAAAUUAUUCAAAAUCUGGCCAGAAAACUGUUAAUCCAACAACACAAUGUAAGAUUUACUUGAGCAAAUGGGAAGAGAAUCAGAUUAUGUUCAGGCCAAUUGACUAUUGUCCAUAACACCUCCAAAUUUUUACUCAUCUGAAACACUAAGUUCUGCAAAUUAAUAAGAAACUAAUAAUCAUAGAUUAUAAAGAAAUUGAUCAGAUGUCAAUACAAAAAUUUUAUAUUUUAUUUAAGAAAAAUAUUAUUUGGUGCUCUACAUACCGAGCAAGGGAUUUUCAUUUCUGGAUCUAGCUUAACAUCAACACCAAUGGACUUGUAAUAUUUCUCUAUUGCCCCCAAAUUUUUGAAAGGCAUGCCACAUGCAAUCUCUCGCACACCUUGCAGGAUGACAGAAUCCUUUGCUCCAUGUUUAUUAAGAAAUGACUUAUAAGAUGGAGGCAGACUACCUUGCUUCAAUAUGUAAGCAGACCUGAAAAACACAAUAUUUUUCUCUGAAAGAUACUUCAGUAAGAAAUCAGACUAUCUUUAUGGGAGGAUAUAUACAUGAAAAAAACCCGUAAUGGGUCUCCUAAAAAUAUCAAGUGCAGAAUUUUGAGCUGGUUACACUCUUGUUUAGACAUUUAUUAGAAGUAACCAAAAAAAAUGCUUUUGAGACGUAAGUCAUAAGCGGAGAUGAAAAGUCAAUAUAUUGCACCCUUCCGAUAGUUCACAGCAGUGAUCAAGCAGGCCUUCUGGUCUACUAGUUGCUAAUUAAACAUCCAUUUCCAGCACAUUGAUUAUAUCCCCCCACCACCUUGCAAUUGUUAUCAUACCAAGCUUUUGCAGCAAACUGUAGGCUUGAUUUACUUGUGCGUGUCAAUUUAUUGUUAUUGGAAUACACACUACGACUUAAUGUACAAAAUAUUUCGCCCUUCACUUCAAAAUUUUAAGUUAGAAACGGUUAUAUAUUAUAUAACACCGCAGCCUUAUUACACUUGAGAACUACUUUAUCUGAAAAACUGGGUGUAAGUCUUUCCACAGAUACAAAUCUAAUCACCACAGGAGAUGAACAUGAUAGACUCCUAUCAACGUGGAAGGACCUAGAAGAAUUGAGAAGCUUAUUCAGUUAAAAUAGAUUCAGGUAGGGGUAGGGGUAUUUUUGGGAAUAAUGAUGUGAUAAGUUGCCUAUAAAUGUAAUUGGGAAGGAUUGGGGAUAUUCAUGCUGAGAAUUAGUUGUUGAGCUAGGGGGAAAGAUCUAAGCCUCUCGAAAGCUUAGAAUUGUUCUUCAAUUUCUGUAAUCGUCUGUCUUUUUAAUCAAAAAGUCACCCAUUCAAUAUUUGAACUUGUUCUUUCAAGCAGUAUCCUAUCAAUUGAUAUCAGAGCAACGAUCUUAGGGCAAUGACAAUAAAUUUCAGCAAGGAAAUGGAAGAGAGUUGGGGCUCGAAAUUGAAUCGAUUGGAAAAGAUGACAAGGCAACUAGAAGAGAGAGACCAAGAAGAGGAGUUAGGUUUGGAUUCACAAGGGCGACUCAUAAUCUCCAUAUUCUACUGUGAUAAUGCCGAGUGGUGGAUCUCUAGGGCGGAGGAUAUUUUCUCCAGAAACCAAUUAAUGGAGGCAGAGAAAAUAUAAGUGGCAACAUCCUGUUUCGACUGGGAAUCAUGGAAAUGGUUUCAGGAGGUAGAUCAACAACGAUCGGUGCGAACAUGGGAUGAAUUGAAGGGACUGAUGUUGGCUCGAUUUAGCAUGAAUGAGCUUUCAAGUGAUGAAGAAUUGCCAGCAGGAAAGCACGGGAGUAUGGUACACGAGGAGAUAACGAUUGCUGAACGUGGACAAUUGGAUGAGGUUACAUCGCCAUUGCUGGAGGAGGAGAAGAGGGUAGAGGUGAGACGGGUCACUGUGAAUUGGCCGAGCUAGGAGAAGAAAUCCAUGGUUGAGUCGGAAAGGGAGGGAAAAGAAAAAGAGAUCGCAGAGAACUUACCAGAGCCGACGAUUUUUGAAGACAGAUGAAUUCCGACCAUCCCAGGAGGACGAAUUUUUUGGCAAGUACCGAUGGGAUUUGGAAAUUCUAAUGGAGAAAAGCGAGAUGAUGGUGCCGGAGCGGGAAGGACAGGGACGGGAAUGGAAGGAGAAAGGAUAGGAAGCAAACUCAUCUGAAGACGCGUUAUAUUCUAGAACUCCAACCAAUUCUAGGGAAAUCGAAGCUAAGAUUGCAGGAAUCACAGGGGUUACUAGAAGUUGUUCAAAAAUCUAGUCACCCCCUUUUCGACGUCGCCAGAGGAGUUUCAACGAAGCAAUUUUGUUAAUGGGUUUAAACCCAUUCCACAGGCUGAUGAUAGAAGGCUGCAACCUCAUGAUUUGGGUUGUAUUAUGGAUUUGGCCCAAGGGGGAAGAAGUAUAGAUGAAUUAAUGAAGCAUGCUCAAGCAAAUAAACUUACAGACCAAGCAAAUUACAGCCCAACUAUGGAUAAAAUUAAGGCAUACAGUUCAAUCCACACAUCCAACCCAUAUCUCCAGAAUCCUCCUCAAACCCACCUAAUCUUUCAAAAGGCAGCAACGAUCUAUGUAAUCUGUCCGAUGACGGUGACCCAAGGUACAACACCCUUCAAAAAGCUGACAAAGGUAGAGUCACAGAUGCAAAAGGAUAAGAGGGUGUGUAAUUGUUAUAAGGAGGACAAUCUGGGUCACAUAUGCCGGAAUGAAAAGCUACAGGUAUUAUUGGUUCAGGAAGGUGACAGGGAUGAUCAAUUAGAUGGGUCACAAGAGGAAGAAGAGCACAAACUAGGGGAGCUGGUCGAGAUAUCACUCAACUCUGUUGCGGGUCUCACCUAACCAAAAACCAUGAAAAUUAGGGGCUCGAUUUUGGAGCAAUCGGUAAUAGUUUUGAUAGAUUGCGAAGCUAUACAUCACUUCAAUUUAACAGGGUGGUUGAUCAAUUAGGGCCGCAUACCACAGAAACUACGGGCUAUGAGGUUUCUAUGAGGUUUCUAUUACGUGGGUUCCAUUUUUUAAAAGCCCGCAAAGGGAUGCCACUGGUUAUGGAAUUUGUAUGAAUAACAUUUUAAUGGUAGGUGGACGACUAGCUACACGAGCUAACAAGUACAACAAGCUAACUCCAAAAACGGAUUGGUUAUAUGGAAUUUCGAAUUUUGAAGUUAAACCACACUCCCACCUUGAGAACAAGGUGGAUUUCGAGGGGCGAGUAAUGAUAGACUCCUAUCAACGUGGAAGGACCUAGAAGAAUUGAGAAGCUUAUUCAGUUAAAAUAGAUUCAGGUAUGGGCAGGGGUAUUUUGGAAAAUAAUGAUGUGAUAAGUUGCCUAUAAAUGUAAUGGGGAGGGAUUGGGGAUAUUCAUGCUAAGAAUUAGUUGUUGAGCUAGGGGGAGAGAUCCAAGCCUCUUGAAUGCUUAGAAUUGUUCUUCAAUUUUUGUAAUUGUCCGUCUUUUUAAUCAAAAAGUCACUCAUUCAAUAUUUGAACUUGUUCUUUCAAGCGGUAUCCUGUCAGAACACAUGGGCAAUUUCGUCUUUGAUAUCUCUAUGUUUCUACUGCAUAUUCAUCAUUUCAAUCUUCACGAGCAUGUCAUCAGAAAAUAAAUGGAAGAGCUUCCUGAGCAGGUGUGCAAAUUUUACAUACCAACCCCCCUUUUUCAAAUGUUUCAAGAAAUAAUCUUGGCACGGUGCAUGAAGAAGUAAGAAAUGAAUUUUGGGGAGUGAAACCGUAAUUUAUGUCAUUUGCAUAAUUUUGGAAAUACAAUUUAUUCUAGUCUUGGACAUCAGUUUCCAUAAGGAUGUUUUAUAUUAUGAGGGUGUUUGGUGGGGAUUAAAAUUAGAUCUUUUAGUAGAUUGUGAUAAAAAAUUUUGGAAUGUGUGGUUGAAAAGUUGUGAGACCCAUGAAAGAUGUGGUUUAGCUUUUUUGCAUGACUGUAUAAGGAACACAGGAUAAAUUUCUGUCAGUCACAAGUCAGUUUUGAUGUUUCUUAUAUUUUAUGAAGUAUAAGUUCAAGGACUUUAUACUCCAAAAAAGAGCAUUUUUCAUUGACAAACAACCUCAAUCAACUCCAUCAGAUAAGCAACUUAAUCGUGUUUCGCCUGAGACAAAGUUAUGAUAUAGGUCUAACUGUUUUAUCCUGUAGACCUCAAGUACUUAUCUGGAAAGAGGUAACCACAACUAUACCAUGCCAAGAUACAGUUCCGGUUCCACAGUGAUAAAGAAAAGAAAAGAAACUUCUCGAAGAUUGAAAUAAAACAUUAAAACUUUAAGCAGAGAAAUAAGUCACUUACAAAAUCUGCGAAGAGGAGAGACACAUAAGGAAAAUAUCUCCAUGUGCCCACGUAAGAGGCUUACAAAUUCUCCCAAAUUUCUCGCUUUUUAUCCCCCAUCGUGAUGCCAAUACAGUGGCACGCAUGAGAAUGUAAAUCGCUAAGCUUGUGUGCUGGGUAUUCAAGCCAGUAAGCAGCAUAGAUGGUCCUGCUAUGGCCCCGGCCAGCAAAGACCUCCAUUUGGCAGUUCUAAAAUUUAAGGAAACUUCAGCCACCACGCCAAUUUAUGAAAUGAAUAUACAAAUUUAACACAAGUAACAAAAGAAAAAUCUAACAAAAAUGAGCAAAUCUGCCCAAAUGCUGAUUCACAAAAUAAAAAAAAAAAAAAAAUAGAGCAAACAUAAAAAGGGAAAAGAGAAAACCAAUGAGGGGUAAAGAUCAUGCCUACGGUGACCUCCCAAAGCAGCUAUAAUUUCAUCCACAGAUACAAAUGUCCCUGCAAAUGCACCAAGGAAUAGUCCGUAUCUCAAGGUCUCCUUCAAUGCCAAAAUCACAUCUUCACUAGUUGAUGCCAUUUCCAAUUUCCUAAGCAAAAAGAAAAAGAAAAUUGACAUAAAUUAUUAGUAGUAAAUAAAUUAACCAUAGGUAAAAUUGCCAAAUAUUGUGAUAUAUAUGAGAGCACUAAGAGAAUGUUUGGGAAGUGUUCAUAACUGGUUUGCAUUAUAAAUAGACAAAAAUGAAUGGUGAAGAAGCAGGUAGUGCUCGUGGGUAAGUGGCUUGAAUGUUUUUUAAAUGUUUAUAAACACGAUCCAAACGAGGCUAAUAAAAAGUCCAGAUGCACAAUAGCGCAGUAACAUAGCUGCUUCCAUUUGUAAAAACUUAAUCCAGUAGCAAUAUCCCGUAUAUCAAAAAAUAAAAAAAUCCCCUUCUGUCAUAUUUACAGCAUCAAAUGGGGUUUUGGUAAUUGAUGUUGUAAAAUUUUCAUAAUCCUGAUUCCAAAUCAACGACUUCAAGCUUAUGGCGCCAAAUGCAGCCUUACUGUUCCCCGAAAGCAAAGCUAAUUAGUAAAUUGUAUAAAAUAUAGCUUCGGAAACAAGAAUUGAACCUUUAGUUUAAAAUUAAUUGCAGGAAAACGAAAGCAAGUACACGCAAGCAAUAUGUGUGCAUAGACAUGCCCCAACGUGAAUUGAUUUAGAUCCGAAACAAUACAAAAUAAAGAAAUGUAAACCGGAUUCAUAAACACGUACUUGGAGGAGGGAAGAGAUCGUCUGCGGCGGAGGCGAGAGAGGAAAGAGAAGAGCGCGAGACCACCUUUGAGGCCUGCGCCGAUGGAGAAGCCUUUGACGGACGCUGUAUACACUCUCCACAGCUUAUCAUAAUCCUGAACAGGAUAUGACUCAAAGCUCAGCAAAGAGCACGAAGACGACGAAGACGGCAAGCUCGAAUUCAACGAUCGACGCCGGCAUUGCGAGCAGUUCGACUGGUGGUCCUCCUUUUUCAAGCAGCACGUACACGGGCGCUCAUCCACCCGGGCUACUGAUCCUCCGUCAUCCUCCGUCAUCUUCGGUGGUGGCUGUGGUGGCGGCGGCACAGCCAAAAACUAAUUUAGCUACCCUUGGGAUUAUCGAAACGUGAGUGGCGGAGUUCCACGUAUAAUUCAGCAGUUGAUUGAUGACCGUUUUUUAUUUGUUUUAUCCAAAUUUUUUCAUUUAUUACCCUCUUUUCAUUAAAAAGAAUCCCUUACGCCGAUGUAAUUUUCAUUAAAAAGAAUCCCUUACGCCGAUGUAAUUUUAAUAAGUAAUAAUUAAUUAAUAGCUAUUAUUAAGCUACAUAUUUCUCGAUAAUCUAUUUCGCACAUUAUUCGAAUCAUAUAUGAAUUAAUAAUGGCAUUUAGUAUCAAUGAUGCUAAAGUAUCAUGUGUCAUUACAUGAUAGAUUUAAUUAAAUGUGAAAUUAUAUGAUUUAUUUAAUUGUACAUUUCAUUUAAUGAUACUUAUAUAAAGAGAAAUCAAUAAAUAUUUCUUGAAAAAUGCAAAAUGAAUCAAUAUAUAGAGCAUUGUUAAAGUGUAUAAAAUAUUUAAUUUUCUAAACUUGAUUUUUUCUCUAUUAUUAUAAAUAUCUCCUUUAUAAAUAAAUUUUUUUGGAAAUACUCUGAUACCAUUUUAGAUGGCCAAACGUAUGACACUGAAUCAAAUGUUCAAUUAGAUGUAAAGAUUUAGGACUUAUCUAAUCGAACAUAAUAUAUGAUAUUAUGUAAAAUGGUCUUACACGUUGCUAAGAUGAAUAAGCAUUAUUCUAAACAAUUUUGUUUUUCUCUCUUAAGAGAAGAAUGCUUCAGCAGAAUGACAGUAUAUCCAUACGUUGUAGGAAUGUCUCAGUGAAUGGUGUUCAUGUACUCGCAGUAACUUAUCAAAUUAUGCUUGGAAAAUGGUCCUCUUUCCAGACAAAUGAGAAAUUGUAAUUUCCGUUCUUAAAAAUUUUAUUACAUGUAAUAGCGUUAGAGCAUUCAACUUUGCUAUAUGUACAGAAAAUGGGCUAUCAGAAUUGAUACAGAUACACUUGGCAACAAUCUCUCAAUUAAAGAGAAAGAGAGAGGAGAAAAAAACAAAAAGAGGCACCAGAUGCUGAUAUGCUGACGUUGCCAGCAUCUGGUGCAAUUCUAGCAACAAUUUCUUUGUACAAGAGGAAUUGCUGUAGAGCAUUAAUGCAAUAAGAAAAGUAAAUCAAGAUUUCAUUUUUAUGAUAGAAAAUGAUCCAAGAUUCGAAAAUUUAACAAAAAAAAAAAAAAAAAAAAAAAAAAGGAAAAUUUGUACAACAAAUACAGCUGAAGGAUGCUGAUUCUGUAGAGCAUAUCAACUGCCACUUGUGAAUGAAUCUAAUUCCUCUGCUGCUUCUGGGGAAUUUCCGCUACUUGACUGUGAAUGUAACACCACAUACUUGUUUUUGGUGAUUAUCAUGUCUAUCUAUAUUAAUUUUAUUUAUGUUACAGUUACUGGUUCAUUAAUAUAAUUAUUUUGAUCACGAUUAAUUAUUAUUAUUAUUGUUUUUUUGGCAGUGGAAUGUGCCUUGAACGCCAUUGACGAUCGACGUGCCUAUUGGUUUAAAUUUAAUAUGUUAGUAGUUCUAGCAAGCCUUUAUUAAAUUACACAAUAUGUUUAUAUUAUUUUGUGCUUUUAACUUGUCUUAUUUUUGAAGUUACUUAAACUUAUCCUUGAAAAUACUAGAAAUUCUAUAGUAGGAAAAUAAAUUUAGUCUAAUUUGAUUAACAACUAACCAUAAGAUGAGGAUUUUGACAAUUAAUAUAAUUAUACUUAUAUAGAUACAUAGGAUAACUGUCAAAAACAGAAGAAAAACCUUAUAAAAGAAAAGAAAGAGGGUCACAAUUACAUUCAUCAAUCAUCAGCGCAUCGUAUUCGUAGUCAUUUUCUCUUUUUCUGGAAUUUGACUCUUAUUACUACUUUGCCACCAUCUUUUGGGAAUUGAAUGCAAGUUUAAUUUGGAUUCCAUUCUCUGGCAUAUUAUUCCACAGCCACAUGUUCCUGUACCUAUAUAUAAGUAUAUGUUAGUGUGAAAAUAAAUAUUUGUAUAUUUUAAUGAUGUUAUUCUUCUUCCAUUUAAAUUCCAAUUUUCGUAUAUUGAAUUUAAGAACUGUACAUCUUCACUUAGUUGUUCUUAAAGAGAUUAAAUUCUACAAAUUGUCAUUUCAUUUCCUGAUUGUAUUUGUUCAUUCUUUUGAUUUUCUAUUUAGUUGUAACAGGAAGGUGGUAAUUAAUACAAUAAUGUUCAAUGAUAACGUCAAUGCUAAUCGCUUUGCAGUACUACCGGUAGGACUCGAUCGAGUUUCAAAUAAUAAUUACCCAUUGCAUUUUAAUUGGCUCGGCGAUACUGGGUACAAGAUGUCAAUGUUAAGUUUAUAAAGUAAUGAAAGAAAAUAUAUAUACAUAUUGAGAAAUGCUUUUUGAUUUUGAGAUGAUUCUUAAGCAUAUCAUGAACAUGCAAAAUAUGCAUGAGAUUUGCUUACUGAGCGUUAGUUCAUCCCACGUUAUCCUUUCCUAUUUUUAGAUGAUAAAAGCAAGAUGAUUCGAGACAAUUGCUUAUGGUGCAAACAAUACUAAUACAUGAAAGGAUCUUACUAUAUGUACAUCAAGAUUUAUAUAAUGAAUUACAUAAUACAACAUGACACUACUAUUUGCCAGUUUAAAAUACAAUCAAAUUUUUCAUCAAAUCUUUUUCUUCCACAUCAUAUUAUGUAAUUCAUUAUGUACAUUUAUUAUAUACAAGUAGCAAAAUCCUACAUUUGAAUAUCGGUUUCUUUUAAAAGUUAAUUUAUUUUUAAUUUUAAGUGCAAAAGUUUUCUAUAAGUUAAGUUUAUAAAUGAAGUCGUGAUGUUCAUUAUAUUAAAGAAAAAUAUAAUCGCUCCGCAUUUAUGAUUUUAAGAGAAAAUGAAAUGAUAAUACUUCCAAAUCUAUAUAUUUAGAUUUGGGGUUGUUACAAUGAACUUAAGAAAUUGCCGUGAUUCAUUAAGAACAAUCUUCAUAAACUCAUAAAUAAAGUAAUUUAUUGACGCCGAAGGUAACACCUAAAGAAUAAUGAGCAAGGAACGAGAUGAAGGAAAUCGUAAUGGCGAAAACACAAGAUGAUUGGAACACACGAAAUUGUAAUGAAACCGUCAUAUUUGAGACCAAGAUGAUUGGGAAACAUAAAGAAUUGAUUGCAUAUUAAUCAAUAUAAACAUGAAAUUGAGAAAUUCUAUCAAAGACUAAAAGUCAGAAGCCAGAGGAAGACUUCAUAUAAUGCAUGUUUGGUAUACGGUACUCGACAAUGUAAUGAAUAAAAUUUUAGCUUCUUUUUGUUCCAUAAUAUUAUCUCCUCCUUAUAAAACAUGACAUAACAUAUACUAUAACUGUAGUAAGCUGGGAAGAAGACCCAUUUAAUGAGCAGGAAGACCUCCUUGUUCAACGAUCUUGCAAGCUGUUGUCAACGCACUCAUUUUAGUAGCUUGGCCUUGCUUGGAGCUGCUCCCUCACAACCUCAAAUGCCAAAUGAUCAAAGGUCCAAUCACUUAAGCUAGAAACUGAAAUUCUUGAAUUAGUUCCUUGCUUGUACUUUGUAACAGCUAAAAACCAUUCCCACAAAUAAUUUCAAGUUUCUAAUUCUGACUUAAACUAGAAAAAAAUAACGACAUUACAUGCAUAGAAGUUGAGCUUAUUUUCAACAUCAUUGUGAUCCUGGAACUGUCAGUUCAAUUUAUAGUUAAAGCUAGAGAACAAAGUUUUUUUAUAUACAAGAAAAGCCACAGAAUUUUAAUUGCUGAAAGAUAUGGCCAAAAGACGUUAAAAAAUAUCGGAAAAAAUGUACGAAUUUUCACUGUCCAGUGGUAAGCAGAGUACUGUAGCGUAAUGCCAGCCACAGCACCGGCAAUAAACCUCUCAAAAUUCGUGGUUUCUUCAUUCCCAGAUAAUUUGAGAAGCUUCUUUCUUUAUGUAUCAUAAGAGCAAAAAUUGAUUGCCUUAAAAGGUGCUGUGCGUAGAAUGUUAACAAAGUUUACCUUCCAAAAACCUUUCAGGCCUUGAGGUACUUUUAUUUUCUUGAUGAGCUCAAGUAUAUUCCUCUUUCCAUCACAGACUAUAUAUUCCAGCUUUAGUCUAUCAACUGGUGCAAUGCAAGUUCCGAUUAAAGAAAAUUACACAUAGAUGAAGUACUUGAAAAAAUAAGUAAAAAUAAAUAAAAAACUGAAGGUUCAUCAUUCCAAUUGCUGAAUUAGCUUCUCGGUGGCCAACUAAAAGCCAGACCCAAAUUCGUAAUGCUAAACUAAAAUUCCAAUGACGUGAUAAGAUGCAAUAGAUGCAAAAUAGGAAAGAACAGAACAUAUAUUUUUUUCAAGUAAGAAUUUGGAAACUGUAGUUCGAAUGAUGUGAUAAGCUGCAACAGAUGCAUAAUAGAAAAGAAGAGAACCUAUAUCGUUUCAUGUAAUUUUUAAUUAAUAAGAUUAAAAUUGCUAUGCGAGAAAUGUGUAAUGCCAAGAAAGAUUUAAAGGAUGGGUUAAGAUUCAAUUCUACAAUUAAGUUCAAGACAAGAAUAUAUUUGGAAAGAAAUUAGAUGUUUUCAAAUUAAACCCCUGUUUGAAAACCAUUAUUUGGGAAAAACAUUGUUUUGAAUAAUGAUUUUAGGAAAAUCCGUAGUUAAAAAGUAUGAAAAAGUUUUGGAUUUACAUGUGGUUGAAAAUAAGUACCUAGAAAAAAGAGUUUUCAAAUAAUGAUUGUCAAAUAGGGGCUAAGUAGUUAAGGAAAUCUUUUUUACAUUUCACAUCAUAGAAGUAAACAGAAAGAGGCUACUAGAAAACAGAUAAGAACACUAGAAAUCUAGAUGCAGAUUAUCUAUUUUAUUUAAGCCAAUAAAGAACACCUCCUGUAAAGGUCACAAGUUCGUCCUACAAGAAACCUAAUCAUAGCAUCAACCCAAAACAAGAGGAUGUUUAAGUAGUCAGCAAGACAGUGAAACCAACAGAGAGCAAACAAAUGAGAUCCCUUGGAAUUGGAGUAUCGAUCAUCGCCAAUGUUUAUAAAUGCAUCUUAUUGUAAUUCUGAUAACUUCAAACAACAAUUCAGUUUUUCUAUUAAUGAUUCUGAUAAAUUCAAACAUGCUUCUAAAGUAAUCAAAGCAAUAAUUUUCAAAUUUAUCUCAUCAGGAUGUUGAUUCAGUAAAAAAAAAGGUUACAACAGCAAGCAAAAAGAACCAUAUGAUUACAAACAUAUUCGACCAAACGAGACAAGAAAUUCUACUACAAGAUGUUGGGAACCCAACUGUAACAUUACAAAUGUAUAAAUUGUCAGAUGUCAUGAACUUGUUUAUGUGCAAGUAAAAUCUUUAAUAACCCAUAUAGUCAAAGGCAAGAUUUAGAUGAUAUACGUGUGACCCACUCUAACAACUUAAGAGCUCUCUAGCAAAUUAAGCUUUUAGGUUCAAUAUGGUAUUAGAGCAGGCACAGAUUCAAGUCACGCUGCCACCCACACAAUGAAACUGUGCAGCUUUGAUGGGAAAAAUAUGUAACCCGCUUACAUGUGAGGGGGCAUGUUGAAGGCAAAAUUUGAAUGAUACGUGGCACACUCUAACGCUUAAACUUUUAGAUCAAGUGGUUUAAGAUAUCUCCAUUGUUGAAUGUGGACAUAGGAGUUGCCUUCAAGGAACUAGCACACCCUACUCAUUAAAGAAUGGAAAAGGUUCCCAAAAAUUCAGAGUCAUCCUGUAAAAUUCAGAUUCUCACAGUUUUUCUCCAUUGGCCUCUUGAAUCUUCAUAGAUGAUAUCCUCUCUUAACUAAUUUCUUGGCUUUCAAUUAAAAUCUAAACUUUAGUUCGUACUGGUUUUAACAUCAAGUUCCAAAUGCGAGGAAAGAAAUAACUACGCGAUACAUUUAGAUUUUCAGUAUCUGAGUCCAACCAAUGGAGGAUAUUAGGUAAAAGUAAAUACAUGGGUUCGAAACCAAGUGAUGAUAAUCCUAUUCAAAAUCUGCAAAAAGCAGGAUUUCAGUGACGUAAAAGAUCCACAAACUAUCUUCUGUUUGAAAGCUUAAAUAUCACUGUCAAAUCCCUCCAUUUGAAAUAGCCCUGCAUCUAUGCAGAUGGGCAAGUUUAUCUAAGUAAAAUGCAUCUUCUCUUCUAUAAGGAUUAGCUCGACAACUCACUCUUUCUGCAAUGACACAACUGGCUUCCGAAGUAAUUAUAUCUUAAAAUGCAAGCCACUUUUUAAAGUAAUUAUAUCUUAAAGUAACAUUUAAAAUGCGUGAUAGGAUGAUUUAUUCUUCUUUAAGCUUUAUUUCAGUUGUUCAACAUGAUAAUAACAAGGGUUGCUACUACUAGAAUUGUACAGAAUUCAUUAUGCAUUUUGAGGAAGAAAAUAAAACUAAUUAAAAGCUACAUCGCAUUAAUAUUCAAGUUGUUACACCCCUAUCUGAACCAUUUCGGAAAGUUUACUACCACGUCAUACGAGGUGUUCAACACCCAUCCGAAGUGGUUUCGAAGUGACGUCGCCACCAAUGUUGUCGACCUGCUAACGCACUGCGAGGCACAGACAAUCUACUGAACCGACUGAAGCGCCCUAGCCCCUGAAACCGAGGCGCAGUGCAUCCCCAGGUUCUCUAUCAGAGGAUCCGCCGCUAAUUUUAGAAAGAUAUCUAUGUCAAGAUUCUUUCUGACCGCAAGGUUUAAUUGAUUUGACGUCUCCAUGAGCCUAGUUGAUGUGACGUCUCAACUUUAUGUCAACUCAACUCGGGAGAAAUAAUUACCCGCCCACUCUCUAGACGCGGCUGAUUGACGCCUAUGAGCAAACGCCUCACAUCGUCAGAUACAUAUACUUGUCCCACAUCUAACGGUUCUCCUCACCUAUAAAUACUCAAAGUUUGACAAGAGGCAAAGGUAAUGAAACUCUUACAACAUAGCUUUCUAUAACAAGCAAAUAUAUAUUCUCCUCCCCACUAUUUUGCACAACCUUGAUAUUGUUCCGAUCACCUGAGGCUAACUUGAUCAUCGGAGUGUAUGCGGAUGCCACCACCUCUGCUGGUUCCGGCCGUAUGCAUCUGAUCGUGCGUUGACUGUGCGCAGGGAAGAAUAAGUGGAGUGCCUAUCGGUUGGCCACGUGGAGGGUCCAAUUUGCGAGGUCAACACAAGUUAUUAUAGAUCUCAAGAGAAUAGAUUACACCAUUCAGCAAAAUAAGAUGUAACCAAACAAUAAAUAAGCAAAGUUAAACUUAAACACUCAAACCAAUACUUAACCAAAUGAAAAAUAAAAGAAAAACUGCAAUAAAAUGGGCAGACCUUGAAACCAUUGCAGCAUCAGCUCCAGCCCACAAAUGUUUGGUGGUGUUCACUGCCCCGCGGCCACGUAAGCUAACAUUUGACCUUUUUCCUGCAUUCACAGCUGUACUUCCUCCGCCAACAACCGCUCGGGUCGCCUCUCUACUUUUCUUAUCUCUAUUCUACACCAAGCUCUCACUUGAAAUCCUA
rnacentral:lncRNA from 1 species